rnacentral:rRNA from 1 species
GACGAACGCUGGCGGCGUGCCUAAUACAUGCAAGUCGAACGAGUGGCGGACGGGUGAGUAAUGUCUGGGAAACUGCCCGAUGGAGGGGGAUAACUACUGGAAACGGUAGCUAAUACCGCAUACCAUCGGAUGUGCCCAGAUGGGAUUAGCUAGUAGGUGGGGUAACGGCUCAACUAGGCGACGAUCCCUAGCUGGUCUGCGGGGAUGACCGGCCAAACUGGAACGAGGACCCGGUCCAGACUCCUACGGGAGGCAGCGUGGGGGAAUAUUCCACAAUGGGCGCAGGCCUGAUGCAGCCAUGCCGCGUGUAUGAAGAAGGCCUUCGGGUUUAAAAGUACUUUCAGCGAGGAGGCGUUACUCGCAGAAGGAGCACCGGCUAACUCCGUGCCAGCAGCCGCGGUAAUUC